rnacentral:lncRNA from 10 species
GUUAAUGCCUGAGAACUCUUUGGCACAGUGCCCAGCACAAAUUCAGCAGUCACUCAGUGUUGGCUAUCAUCUUUGGUGAUGUUGGUCCCAAACCCAGACCUCUGCUCUUGUCCUCGGCUCAUACACCCACCUGUAUAGCCCAUAUGCACUUUAAACAUGAGUCCAAAAUGGAAUCCAAAAUAUUAGAUGCCCUCGUUGCCACCACCAGGUUUGCUUUCCUCUCAAGCCACUGAGGGAUCCAUAGAAGCAGAGACCAUGAUGAGAACCCAUCUUUAACUCUGGGUCGCUAGCACAGGGGCAGAGUAGGCAGUCACUACAUCUUCAGAGCUUGUGAGUUUUAUUUUGCUUUGUUUUGCAAUCUGUCAUCCUCACACUCUUACUAUAUAAGACAGUGCCUAGCCAGACAAGCAUAGGUUUAAAUCUCCACCUUGUCAUUUCUUAGCUGUGUGACCCUGAGCGACAAGCUUGAGUUUUCUGAGCCUCAGCACCUUCAGCUGUACAGUGAGAAUGAACAGACCUCCUCACAAGGCUGCUAUAAAGAAUUAACGAGGCUGGGCAUGGUGGCUCCCACCUGCAAUCCUAGCACUUGAGGCCGAGGUGGGUGGAUCACCUGAAGUCAGGAGUUCGAGACCAGCCUGACCAACAUGGUGAAACCCCGUCUCUACUAAUAAUACAAAAAAUUAGCCGGGCAUGGUGGUGGGCGCCUGUAAUCCCAGCUACUCGGGAGGCUGAGGCAGGAGAAUCGCUUGAAACCAAAACCGGGUGGCAGAGAGAGGAUGCAGUGAGCCAAGAUUGCACCACUGCACUCCAGCCUGGGUGACAAGAGUGAAAUUCCAUCUCAAAAAAAAAAAAAAAGGAAUUAAUGAGAUCACUCCACACAAAUCCUAAUGUGGCAUCUGAUACAGGGUGAGUUCUAGUAAAUGAGCAUUUUUUACACUCAAGAUGUAAGAGUGAUGGUUUCAUUAUUAGAGAUGAGAGAACCAAAUUAAUAAACGUUUAAUCAUGUACUUAAAAUCACACAACUGGGACUCAUAACCAAGCCCUUUUCUUCCUGGUCUGAUGUUCAUUCCUUGUUGUCUGAAAUGUCAAAUCAUUUUACCAGAAUAGCAGGGGAGAGAGGGACAGAAAGUUGCUUAAAUUAUUGAUUUUGUUUUAGCAGCCUCUCAUCCUGCAAGAGGGGCUUGCAGUAACAAAGGCCUGGCACCUUUGAGUUUGUUUUUGGUCCAUUUUUUAAAUCUUCAUUCCCUUUAGCUCUUGUUGAAAAUGGCUUCCUGCCACUUUGCACAGAAAAAUCUCUUUCAUGAAAUACCAAAACCAAACAAAAAACAGGCCUUCGAAAUGCUGUUUUGCCUCCUCCUAAGAGCUAACAUUUGCCAGUUGUAAUUAACAUUCCUUUCGCUUCUUUCAACAGAAAAUCAAUCAGGGCCCUAAAAUCCCUGCACAUCUGUAUUUAAUCCACAAAUAAUUCAACAAUGUUCUAUCUUAAUGGUGUAUUGUGAGAAAAGCAUAAAUGUCAUCAACUUCUUUUACGUGGAAAGAACAAUAGGUCAUGAACUUGUUUGUGCUCCUGAUGUCCUUUAGAAAUGGAUUCCUAAGGACCAGGAGUGUUCUCCCCACCGACGGUGCACAGUGCCACAGCAAGGACAGUCAACUGGGAGUUGGGAGACCUGGACUUCAGUUCACACCACUUUGCUGGGGUACUUGGGCAAGUCCCUCAGGGCCUCAAUUUCUGCAUCUGCACAAUAUGGGGAGUGGUCAACAUGAUUUCCAAAGUCUCUAGCCAGAUUUCAAAUUUGUUUACAGCACACAGAAAAUUGCUAAAGAGAAAAAACUAUAGUGGCCAUUUCUGUUCAGGCUGCAAAAUCUUGUGCACUAUUUACAUAUUUAGGUAUGAACUGUCUCAAAGGGUCUUUCAUUUAAAAAUGACCAACAUGGAGAAACCCCAUCUCUACUAAAAAUACAAAAUUAGCCAGGCGUGGUAGCGCAUGCCUGUAAUCCCAGCUACUCCGGAGGCUGAGGCAGGAGAAUGGCUUGAACCCGGGAGGCAGAGGUUGCUGUGAGCCGAGAUAGCACCAUUGCAUUCCAGCCUGGGCAACAAGAGCGAAAUUCCGUCUCAAAAAAAAAAAAAAAAAAAAAAGAGGAUGUAGGCUACAGCCAUAUACCCUGAACAUGCCCAAUCUCAUCUGAUCUUGGAAGCUAAAAAGGGUCAGACCUGAUUAGUACUUGGAUGGGAGAAAAUGAAGGUGGAGAUAGUUCUUUGUGAAGACACAUGUGUGUACUUAUUUGUGCACUUGUGUGCUUGCAAUUGCAUCUUGGGCACAUGUGUAUUGUGGAGGCAUCUGUGUGCCUGUGGAGUGUGUAUACAUAAGUACCUGAUGUAUGUUUGGCUGCAGAGGCACAGAAGGUCAGCAACAGCAGGUGGCUGCAUGCAGGGGCACUAAUAAUUACUCAUUUUAUACAAACUGUUUAGCAACAAUGUUAGCUAUUCUACUGCUGACUUUACGAACAGAGAAAAUGUGGCCGGACACAAUGGCUCCUACCUGUAAUCCUAGCACUUUGUAGGGGCUGAGGCAGAAGAAGCCCUUGAGCUCAGGAGUUUGAGACCAACCUGGGUGACGUAGUGCGACCUAGUCUCUAAUAAAAAUUAAAAAAAAAAAAAAAACUAUCCAGGUGUGGUGGCGCAUGCCUAUAAUCCCAGCUACUUGGUAGGCUGUAGCAGGAGGAUCACCAGAGCCCAAGAGUUUCAGGCUGCAGUGAACCAUGAUUGCUCCACUUCACUCUAGCCUGGAUGACAGAGCAGGACCCUGUCCCCCUGCCACAAAAAAAGAAAAGAAAAGAAAAGAAAAAAGAAACAUAGAAUAGAAAACGUCUCCUGGUUUGCAUCCUGGAAUAGAGAAAUGAGCACAGGCUUUCAAAUCAAACAGUAGUGAUUCAUAUCCUGCCCCUGGCACUCACCCAGCAUCUCUGAACCUGAAUAUUUUCAUCCAGGUUGACUUAAGGAUGAAAUGGAAAAAGAUUUACAAAGUACCUGGGGCAUAGCAAAGGAUUCAAUAAAUGUUCUCUCCCUUUUCUUCUAUAUUAGUUAUCUAUUGCUAAAUAACAAAUUAACCCAGAACUUAGCAGCUUAAAACAGCAAGUGUUUUUCUGAUAGUGUCUAUGAGUCAGGAGCCCAGGCAAAGCUUCGCUGGGUCUUCUGGCUCACAGUCUCCCAAAGGCCGCAAUCAAGGAGUAAUAUAAGGCUAUGGUCUCAUCUGAAGGCUCAACUGAGGGAUGCUUCCUUUCCAAGCUCACUCAUGUGAUUAUUAGCAGGUUCAGGUUUUGGCUGACUCUUGGUCAGACACUCCCCCAGCCUCUGGUUUCUUGCUACUGGGCCUCUUCAUAGAACACCCACAACAUGGCUGCUGGCUUCCAUCAGAACAAGAAAGCAAGAGAGCAAGAGAGGGUGAGCAGGAUGGAAGUCAUUUUCUUUUUGUAACUUCUCAGAGGUGCUGUUCAUCAGUUUCACCAUAUUGUGUUUGUUAGGAACAAGACAUUAGGUUCAGCCAAGAUAUAAGGGAGUGGAGAGGAUUAUACAAGGGCAUGAAUACCAGGAGACAUGGAUCACUGGAGGCCAUCUUAGGGGCUGCUGGGAAGCCUGUCCUCCAGCCCCCAGUGAUUCACAUCCUCCACCCCAUGCAAAAUACACUUGUGUCCUGCCAAGAUCCCUAAAAAUCUCCUCCCCCUUCAGCAUCAACUAAAGUUCAGAAUCUCAUCAAAUCAGGUAUUGGGGUGGGGACUUCUUGAGAAUGACUAGUCACAUGCAGCUCCUAGAGUACAGUUCCUCUCUCUCUGAGAGCCUGUGAAACUAGAGAGACACAGUAUCUGCUUCCAUACGCCUAGCAUUAAAUGGUAUAACAGGCAUGGGUUAGCUCUAUAUCUGUCUCCUUUUUCUCUAGAUGUUUGAUGAGACAAGUAUUUUAAUUUUGUAUUCCACUAAUUUAUUCAUUCAACAAAUACUUAUUAGGUACUGACUAUAGACUCUAUUUAUUUUGCAUUCCCAUUUUGCCAACAAGGAAUCUGAGAAUCAGAGGCAAAAUAUUACAGCUUGGCCCACUGAAUUAUUUUUUCUUCUCUGAAAGGACCUCUAGGAUUCUCCAUCAAUGAGGACUUUCUAGUCACAGCUGCAGUGAGGUUUGAGUUUAGCUGAUUAGACCAUCAACCACAAAGACUACACAUUCAAAUACUUUUAUGUGGCAGAAUAUCUAAGAAUAAUUCAAGCUAAUAAAAGAUCUAGAGAAUAAUUAGAUAUAUUCAUUGUUAAUAAGAGCCCAUUUAAUAUUGUAGCAAAGGCAAGAUCAGGGCAGGGUCAAGGCAGAUAAUUUUCAAACAUGCCUAAUGAUAGUGUAGACCAAUGGUGUUUUUCAAUUGUGGCUAUAUACAUUCUAACACAUUCAAUUUUUUUUAAAAAGUGAAGCUUAGGUCCUAUUCCUUAGAAAUUCAGAUUUAACUAAUUUGGAGUGGGCCCCAGACAUCAAUAUUUUAACUUUCAAGUGGUUCUAGGAAAGACAGGUUUAGGGGCUGUGGAGAGACACAGAAUGGCAAGUACUUAGAACAUUCACACAUCCCCCACCUCCCAAGCUCCUAACAGAAAUCAUUUAUUAGCCAGUCCCCUCAAUGUCAUUGGUUGGAAUGCAAUUGUGUAGUCUUUCUCAUCCCAGGACUCCAGGCAGCCCCUACCCAUGAAGCCAAGUUGACAUAUGAAUGAAGGCAUAUGUGUUAGCCCUGACAAGCCACACUGGGCAUGCUUUCCCAAACCUACAAAUUAUCAAGGGUGUAGAAAAAUAGAGCCCUCUCCAUGCUGAGCAGAUCUCACUCAUGUAGACAACUGAGGUCUAAUUACCCAUUGGAAAUGGCCAUUGGAAGAGCACAGGAAAAGGUCCAAGAUGGAGAGGGAAUUUACAGCCAAGUCUGAUAAUGGUUUCAGAACCUCAAAAUACUUCACCUGGAGAGGACCCAUGGGCAAUAUACAUGAAGGAGCUCUCCUCUUCCUGAGUCCCUCCAAAGAGUUGUGUAAAGCCCAAAAGGGGGGCUCUCCAGGAGUAGAUGCUCUUCAAAUCCCACUUCUAUCCCUUACUAGAAGUAUAACCUGGCUUGCUAUUGAGCCUCUCUCAGCCUCCUUUUCCAAAUGAGGACAAUGGUGCCUAUGUCACAAGAAUAUUGCAGUGAUUCCAUGAGAAGAUGUAUACAAAGCACCUUGCCCAAUAGAUAGUCAACAAAUACUGGUUGUCACCUUUAUUCUGUCAGUGUUGGUGGAGUGCUGGUACUCAUAGUUCACUAAGAGUUUUUAGGACAGCAAUGAUCUUAGAAGAGAAUCAGAUCAAAGUUCUGAGUGUUUUCCCUGGAACUGGCAUUGUAUUAUUAAUAUCCUACAAAUGGGAGACAUGUAUCCCCUGGUCUCAUACCUGGAAUAUCAAAAUGGUACUUCAUUAACAGUGUCAAAGCAAAAGUCUGAUGGCUCUGCCUGCUCUUGUGAGUAGGGGUACUCAUAUUCCCUUUAAGCCCUUCCCCCAAAUUGGCCUAGAGGUCCAGGGGGUUCCACAUGGGCUCAACAUUCUCUGAUUAACUCUCCCCUCAUAUCAACAACUUCCUCCUAUCAAGCUUGACAUCUUGUGCUAUUUCUUCCUAUUCUAGGUGUAGGCAAGUCUAGUUUGCUCUUCAGCUACUCUAUCCCUCUCCUGCAUAUUGACUCUUGAAUUCUUGAUCCCUAGUAGCUUCUCACACUGUCUGUAAAAUGGAGCAUGGAACCACUACAUAGAAACAGGAAGGUUCUGCCCUGUACUCUCAGCUCUUAAGGGCACAGUCACAAGAAGACCAUUUUUAAAUUCUCAUUGUGUAACACCCUUACACAUUCCACAUGCAUCAUAGCACAUAACUCUGACAAUAAACUACAAGGUAAGCAACUAAUUAUUCCCUUUUUAAUAUUUUUUAAACCUAGGAAGGUAACUUAAUCUCUUUGACUUCCAGUUCUCAUGAACUAGAACAUUAGAGAAUCAAGAUUUGAACCAGAGGUGAUGGUUUUUAAAAUAUGUCUGCUAGAUAUCAAAAUGAGUGCAUGGGAUUUGAUAUAUGUACAUAGGUAGGCAUAGAAAUAGAUAGAGAUGCUCAAGGAUAUGUGUAUAUGCACAUAUGAAUAUGUGUGCAUGUAUAUACAUGUAUCCAUUUCCCAACUCUGUCUUUUAAGAGGAUAUAGAAACAAUAUCACCCCAGUAACAAUAAACACCCUAGUGCCCACAUCUUGAUUUCUCCAUAUCAUUUUCUGCUAGAAGGAACCCUGGUCUCCUUGGAAAAAUGGAUGAUUCCAAGGCUUGGACAGGGAAUACACAAGAUGAGUCUGACAUAUCUCAUGUUGAAAAGUAACAAACUACUCAAAGAAUAAUGACAGCAUGUCAAAAGGACACAAGAACCAACUUAAAGGGCUCCCACUCACCAAAUCUAGGGCAACCUAAAUAUCAUGAUAAGUAUGGAUACCCUCAGUUCACUGAGAGAUUUGAGGUCAGGGACAGUCUUAGAAGACAAUAGAAAACAGUGUUCUGAGUGUUGCCCCUAGAAUGAGCAUUGUGUUAAUAUCAUAGAAAUGGGACACAUGUGUCCCCAGGUCCCAUACCUGGAAUGUAAAAAUAGUAUCCAUUAACAGCGUCAAGUAAAAGAUUAUAACCUAUUAUAAAAACUAGAAACCCGGGCUGGGCAUGGUGACUCAAGCCUGUAAAUCUCAGCACUUUGGGAGGCUGAGGCGGGAAGUCUGUUUGAGCCCAGGAGCUUGAGACCAGCCUGGACAACAUAGGGAGGCCCCGUCUCUACAAAAAAAAAAAAAAAAAAAAAUUACCUGGGCAUGGUGGCAUAUGCCUGUGGUCCCAGCUACUUGGGAGGCUGAGGUGGGAGGAUCACUUCAGCCCUGGAGUCAAGGUUGCAGUGAUCUGUGAUCAUGCCACUGCUCUCCAGCCUAGACAACAGAGUGAGACCCUGUCUCAAAAACAAACAGAAAACUAGAAAACCAAGAUUCUAUGCCGAUGUCAAUAAUAUAAACAAGUGUUCUUCCUUACAGUAGAAAACCAACAAUACAUUUAGAAAGAUUACAGAAUUUUUUUAAAAAACAUGAUUUGACAACCACAGUAAUAACUGAUUCAGGGAAGGGCUACUAAUAAAUGCUAAAACCAAUGGAUGCAAGUUUGAGAAAUAAUAGGAUAUCUUCAUAGUCUCAAAGUAUUUCUCCAAAGGAAAUACAUAUUAAUUAUAAAGAGUAAAACGGUGGACAGCACCGUAACCCCAUGAACAAAGUUAACAUUGCUAGUAAUGGGACUAAUUAAUAGCACCUGCCCCUCAUGCCUUGAGCUACAGGAGCUCAGCAUGGCAUCAGUGAUAUUCCUGCCCAACAUGCAUAACAGAAUCUAAUCAUGGAAAAGCACCAAAAAACCGAAGUUGAAGGACAAUUAUACCAAGUAACUGGCCAGGUAAUCUUCACAAAGGUCUGUGUCAAGAAAGACAAAGCAGCAGAAACUUUCAAAUUACAGGGGACAGCUAAAUGCAACACAUGGUCUUGGAUUGUUUUGUUAUAAAGGACAUUAUUGUGAAGUCUGAAUAAAGUCUGUAGAUGAGACGAGAGAAUUCCCUGUUUUUAGGAAAUAUGCAACAAAAUAUUCAAGAGUAAAUGGGCAUCACACCUUAGAUGACUCAGAAGAAAAAGGGAAGAACAGAGAUAAGUGAUACAGUGAAACCCUGAUGUUUGGGGGAUCUGGGUAAACAAUAUUUAGAAAUUCUUUGUACCGUGUUGCAAGGUUUCUGUAAGUCUGAAACUAUGUGAGAACAAGUGUUUAAAAAUAAAGCAUAAAAUGUAAAACAUCUCUUCUGCAAAUUCUUUGGCACUCCUCCCAUGAAGAGGUAAAGUCUAAUCACCUCCCCUUGAAUAUGAUUUGGACGUAAUGACUCAUUUCUAACCAAUGAAUAUGGUGUAUGGAUGCCUAAUUAUAAAAGAAGAUUCAGCAUGUAUCAGAACAAGGAAGUUCUGGGGCAUGUGUUUUGUGUAAUUCACGCUCUGUGUGGUUCAUGUGCCCAUUGCUCAGAUAAAGAAGCUGGAGCUCAGAAAGGUGCCCAAAUUCAGAAGACUAAUAAAUGGUGGAGCCAAACUUCAAACUUAGGGCACUGGAGCCUCCAAUCCCAGGCAGGUGGCCUUGUGGACGGGGAGCUGGGACCUGGAGUCUGCCCGCCUGGCCAAGGCCUCUCGAGUGCUGCAAGAUGGGUAUUUGGGGCCGGAUAAUUCUCUGUGCACCAUAAGUUGUUUAGCAACAUCUUUGGCCUCUACCCAGAAGACGGCAGGAGCACCUGACACCCAGUUGUGACAACCAAAAAUGUCUCCAGACAUUGCCAAAUAUCUGUGGGGGUGCAGGGUGCAAAGUUCCCUCAUUUAAGAACCACUGACCUAGGGUGAACCGUGGUUCCACUACUUACUUUUCACAUGACCUUGGACAAACAACCUUGUCCUCAAGGUCCUCUGUGCCCCCAUGUCCUCACCUGUAAAAUGGAAAAAUAAUAACAUGUGAGGUUAAUGUGAGGAAUAAAUAAGAAUCCAGGAAAGCAAUUGGCCCAUCAUGUAAGAGCUACUUUGCCCAUAACCCUAGGGUGCCUUCCCUCCAAACACAAAGCUGUGCACAGAGGAGGUACACAGUGAAGAUCUGCUGUUGUAUAGCUGUGGGGAUGAAUCAAUUAACCAUUUCAGUAACAAAUGAACAAAAAACUGAAUGUCCUGAUCUGUGCACUAGUGCAUUUGCUGACUGAAGAUGUCCUGGCAUCCUCUCUCACCAUCAAAGAGCAGUUAGGAUUAAAGACUCCACAGCCAGGCUACCUGGGUUCAAGUUGAGCUCUGCCACUCAGGAGUUAUGUGACCACAGGCUGGUUAUUUAGCCUGCCAAUGCCUUCAUUUCCUUAUCUGUAAAAUGGGGUAAUAAAAGUGCUUACCUCACAGGGCAAUGAGAGUGAAAUGAAUUAAUACAUGUAUUGUACCCAGCACAGGCUGGGUCUCCAUCAUGCCUGCUGCAAUUGCUGCUACAGCAAUUAACAUUAAUCCUAUCACACUCCUCUUUUAUAGCCCUCCAGCCACACUCCUCUGAGGGUGCCAAGAACAAUCCCAUUUCCAAGCCUUUGCACUUGCCACUCCCUCUGCCUGGAUUGCUCUCCUUCCCAGACAUUAGCAGCCCUCCAAUCCUUACUUCAUCAAGGUCUCUCUUCAUGUGGCUCUUUGGAAAGUCCUCCCCUGACCACCAUAAAUAAAACAGCAGCUUCACCACCCUACUCACCCUGGGCUUUUUGCAACAUAGCAAUUACCCCUGCCUGGCAUUAUCUAUCCUGGUCAGUACAGCACAGUGCAAUGCAGUGCAGUAUAGUACAGAUCUCUUUAUUGGCUUAUCUCUCCCACAGCUCACAUAAAUGUUCCAAGAGAGCAGAGAAUUUGAUUGACAACUAUAUUCCCAGCAUCUAGAACAAUGCCUAGAGCAUAGUACGUAAUUAUAAUGAAUGGUGAGUGAUAUUUUACAGAAGGAAAUUCCAAAGUCCUCACAUAACCCAUUUUCCAUAACACAGAACUUAUUUAAACUGGAGCCUAGAACAGUGUUUUUCACAAAAGAUUUUGCUUAUAGCAACCCAUGCUUUAGAACAGAAUAUUGUAAAGACUUCCAGAUCAGUUAGAUUUGAGUUUCUCAAGUAGUGACUGUGGACUCCAGUGAAACAGUAACAGGAAUUCCACCAAACAAGGUUCACAAAGUGAAUGGCAUUGGGAAAUGAUACAGAAUCUUCUCGCACUGGAGAUGCAUCAUGCACAGGAGAAGCUCUAAGAAGUCCUAUCGAGAAAACAGGUGUUGAACCUGGGUUUGCUGAACUUAUUUCACCAGAGACCCCAUCCAUUAACAUCUGCAUCACAAAGCACAAUUGGGUAAACAGUGAUCCAGCUGAAGUCCUUCCAUUUACAGACACAGACAGAAAAUGAGGCCCAGAAAGGUUAAUUGACUCACUCAAGGUCAUGCGACCAUCUCCUGAAUCGUAGAGCUGUGUGCUUUUCACUGCCCCUAAUGUUGCCUAAUGGUUCACUUAGCUAUCCAUUCACAGGAGGUCAGAAACUGUACACGGGCCUCAGAUUCCAGUAUCAUUUUGACUAAAUUAUAUAUAAAAAUUGAUGUAC